rnacentral:rRNA from 1 species
UACGUAGGUGGCGAGCGUUGUCCGGAUUUACUGGGCGUAAAGAGCGCGCAGGCGGUCGUGCAAGUCGCGUGUGAAAGCCCCCGGCUCAACUGGGGAGGGUCACGCGAUACUGAUCGACUCGAAGGCAGGAGAGGGGUAGUGGAAUUCCCCGGUGUAGUGGUGAAAUGCGUAGAUAUCGGGAGGAACACCAGUGGCGAAGGCGACUACCUGGCCUGUUCUUGACGCUGAGGCGCGAAAGCUAGGGAGCAAACGGG